CGGGGUGCAGCAGGCGCGAAACCUUCCCAAUGCGCGAAAGCGUGAGGGGGAAACUCCGAGUUCCUCCAUUUGGAGGAUUUUGUAGUGUGUAAGAAGCACUGCGAAUAAGGGCCGGGCAAUGCCAGUGCCAGCCGCCGCGGUAAUACUGGAGGCCCGAGUGAUACUCACUAUUAUUGGGCUUAAAGCGUUCGUAGCCGGUUUUUUAAGUCUUUUGUGAAAUCCUGCUGCUUAACAGUAGGUCGGGCAAGAGAUACUGAAAGACUAGAGGAUGGGAGAGGUUGGAGGUAUUUCAGGGGUAGGGGCGAAAUCCUAUAAUCCUAGAAGGACCAUCUGGGCGAAGGCGUCCAACUAGAACAUGCCUGACGGUGAGGAACGAAAGCUAGGGGAGCAAACCAGAUUAGAUACCUGGGUAGUCCUAGCCGUAAACUAUGUGGACUGUGUACUGCGGGUGCUUAGGGCUCCCGCAGUGCUGAAGGAAAACCGUUAAGUCCACCGUCAGGGGAGUACGGUCGCAAGGCUGAAACUUAAAGGAAUUGGCGGAGGAGCACCACAAGGGGUGGAGUCUGCGGUUUAAUUGGAUACAACGCCAGACAACUCACCAGGGGCGACGGCAGAAUGACAGUCAGAUUUAAGAUCUUGCUUGACAAGCCGAGAGGUAGUGCAUGGCCACCGUCAGCUCGUACCGUAAGGCGUACCCUUAAGUGGGUUAACGAGCGAGACCCAUACUUUCAUUUGCUACCGUUCAUCUUUGAACGAGCACUAUGGAGGGACCGCUGACGACGAGUCAGAGGAAGGAAUGGGCGAUGAUAGGUCAGUAUGCUCCGAAUCCCUUGGGCUACACGUGGACUACAAUGACAUGAACAAUGGGAUGCAACUCCGAGAGGAGGAGCCAAUCCCCCAAAUCAUGCCUCAGUUCGGAUUGAGGGUUGUAACUCACCCUCAUGAAGAUGAAAUCCCUAGUAACCGUAAGUUAACAUCUUGCGGUGAAUAUGUCCCCGCUCCUUGCACACACCGCCCGU
rnacentral:rRNA from 1 species